UAAGAUUUUAUAAACAUGAUUUUUGUCUUUUAACUUUUCAUUUAAAAAGUUUAUGAUUCGACUCCAAACCUACUAAACACCUUGUAACAUACAUUGAUACAUGUUUAAGGAGUAUGUAUGUUGUAGCAUCCUCAGAUCCGGGUCCCGAAUCACCGCGGAUCCGGUUCAAUCAUUCUACAACUGUUUGCGGAAGAUAUAAACAUAGAUUGUUUAUACAUUAAACUUUACACACUAUUCCCAAAAUUGAGUAACCUUAACUAAUACACAAUCAUGAACUGUCUAACACAUGACAAUACUAUUCUUCAACAUACUUUACAACUUAACUUCACAUUCUAUCCCAAGCUGAACUUGGCAUUAUCCUUUUCCUGUAUCUGGCCGUAUUCGCCUUAUCUGCAAUGUUUUAU
rnacentral:lncRNA from 1 species